AUUGAACGCUGGCGGCAGGCCUAACACAUGCAAGUCGAACGGUAACAGGAAGCAGCUUGCUGCUUCGCUGACGAGUGGCGGACGGGUGAGUAAUGUCUGGGAAACUGCCUGAUGGAGGGGGAUAACUACUGGAAACGGUAGCUAAUACCGCAUAACGUCGCAAGACCAAAGAGGGGGACCUUCGGGCCUCUUGCCAUCAGAUGUGCCCAGAUGGGAUUAGCUUGUUGGUGGGGUAACGGCUCACCAAGGCGACGAUCCCUAGCUGGUCUGAGAGGAUGACCAGCCACACUGGAACUGAGACACGGUCCAGACUCCUACGGGAGGCAGCAGUGGGGAAUAUUGCACAAUGGGCGCAAGCCUGAUGCAGCCAUGCCGCGUGUAUGAAGAAGGCCUUCGGGUUGUAAAGUACUUUCAGCGGGGAGGAAGGUGCUGUGGUUAAUAACCACAACAAUUGACGUUACCCGCAGAAGAAGCACCGGCUAACUCCGUGCCAGCAGCCGCGGUAAUACGGAGGGUGCAAGCGUUAAUCGGAAUUACUGGGCGUAAAGCGCACGCAGGCGGUCUGUUAAGUCAGAUGUGAAAUCCCCGGGCUCAACCUGGGAACUGCAUCUGAUACUGGCAGGCUUGAGUCUCGUAGAGGGGGGUAGAAUUCCAGGUGUAGCGGUGAAAUGCGUAGAGAUCUGGAGGAAUACCGGUGGCGAAGGCGGCCCCCUGGACGAAGACUGACGCUCAGGUGCGAAAGCGUGGGGAGCAAACAGG
rnacentral:rRNA from 1 species